GGGGAGGUGGAGGCAGGCUGAAAGGCAGGGAGGGGACAAGCAAGGCUGUGGGUGAGGGGGACCGUUCUGGAACACGGAUGUCGGGAGGAUUCCAGACAGGUCAGCAGAGGUAGGAAAAGAAAGAAGGGCUGGAAACGUGAGCGGCCACCAUAUGUGCACACGCUCAUACACGCAGUGCUUGCAACAUACCAUUAAAAUAGAGGGAGAAACGUUCUGGUUUCCCUAGCAACAAGGCCUAUUGGUGCCUCAGCCAGAGAAACUUAUUGGGGGGGGGAAGACGUUUGCCUGUUAAGGAGCCUGAUGAAUCGGAAGAUAAUUAUACAGCGUUCUGCCAUCGCUAAGGACACAAAUACGCUCCAGAAAAUAUUUUAAAGAGCACAGAUUGCCACAAAUCCCACGAAGGCAGGGGUGGGGUCGAGAGACAGCAGGCAGGGAAAAAAGACUACUGGAGUGAGUCUAGGUGAACACCCAGAGGGGCCGGCAAGUGUGAGGGACUGACCGGAACUGGGGGCUAUGCCGGUCACGUGACGUCUACUGCAAGACAAAGCUGGACAUACUCGUUCUCAAUUCUCAGGGCCCGCACAUGGAGUCCUUUAAGAAUAGGAUGUGGGGUGGAGUUUUGAGAACGCGGUAAGACUUCUGCAUGAGAGAAGAAGGCAGGCCAGGCAGCAAGUAGAGCCUGAACAGCGACAAAACAGUGAGCGAUUUCACAGCGUUUGGGAGAGCUGCUGCGGACACAAUACAGCAGGUCUGCACAAUCUUUCAGAUGGAUGGAAAUAUCAAAGGACAAACACAAGACAGGGUGAUGUUUGCAAAUGGAGACCUGUGCAAAGUGCAACUGGGUGCAUCUGUGGUGUCUGGAGAAUUCCAGGAUUGUUGUGAAGAUCAAAUAAAACAAUAAAUGAACAAGUUUUCUGUUAAUGAAUUCAGUGGCCACAUAAUGGAGUUAGUGGCUUCCAUUGUUCAUUUAAUCUGCACUAUACUCCAGUGCCGUGGACAUGGCAGGCUUCAUCUGAAAACAUGAGCCCAGGACAUAUUCAGUGACUUGCUAAAACUCAACAGCCACUGCACAAGAGAGCCAGGAUUCAAAACGGAGCUUCCUGACUGUAAGUGCUUUUCUCACUAUUAUGAUGAAUCAUAUGAAAUAGUUAUGUUUGU
rnacentral:lncRNA from 1 species